GACGUAGGGUCCGAGCGUUGUCCGGAUUUACAGGGCGUAAAGAGCGCGUAGGCGGUCCGUUAAGUGUAGAGUGAAAGCUCCGGGCUCAACCCGGAAAUUGCUCUGCAUACUGGCGGACUCGAGGGUGGCAGAGGUUUGUGGAAUUCCUGGUGUAGCGGUGAAAUGCGUAGAUAUCAGGAGGAACACCCAUGGCGAAGGCAGCAAACUGGGCCACAUCUGACGCUGAGGCGCGAAAGCGUGGGUAGCAAACAGG
rnacentral:rRNA from 1 species